AGAGAGCUGCCGUUAGUACAUGGGUUUCAUACUGUCCCAUACACAAGUAAAGACUGGGUUUCAUACUGUCCCAUACACAGGUAAAGACUGGGUUUCAUACUGUCCCAUACACAGGUAAAGACUGGGUUUCAUACUGUCCCAUACACAGGUAAAGACUGGGUUUCAUACUGUCCCAUACACAGGUAAAGACUGGGUUUCAUACUGUCCCAUACACAGGUAAAGACUGGGUUUCAUACUGUCCCAUACACAGGUAAAGACUGGGUUUCAUACUGUCCCAUACACAGGUAAAGACUGGGUUUCAUACUGUCCCAUACACAGGUAAAGACUGGGUUUCAUACUGUCCCAUACACAGGUAAAGACUGGGUUUCAUACUGUCCCAUACACAGGUAAAGACUGGGUUUCAUACUGUCCCAUACACAGGUAAAGACUGGGUUUCAUACUGUCCCAUACACAGGUAAAGACUGGGUUUCAUACUGUCCCAUACACAGGUAAAGACUGGGUUUCAUACUGUCCCAUACACAGGUAAAGACUGGGUUUCAUACUGUCCCAUACACAGGUAAAGACUGGGUUUCAUACUGUCCCAUACACAGGUAAAGACUGGGUUUCAUACUGUCCCAUACACAGGUAAAGACUGGGUUUCAUACUGUCCCAUACACAGGUAAAGACUGGGUUUCAUACUGUCCCAUACACAGGUAAAGACUGGGUUUCAUACUGUCCCAUACACAGGUAAAGACUGGGUUUCAUACUGUCCCAUACACAGGUAAAGUGUGACUGUGUUCACCUGAAAGCACGCAGCAGGCGUCUCU